CCCACCCCUGCGCGCCCCCCGCGCGCGCACGCACGCACUCACUCGCUAGCUGCCUUGCACUGCUGGCGAACCGGGAGCCUAGCUGCGAUCAGCGGCGUCUGCCGAAUGAAGUCACCACAGCCGUGGGGCCACGGUGCCCUAGGGCAGCGGCUGUGCGCCGGCGGGCAGGGAAGGAGAGGACUGCCGCGAGCUCCGCCAGCCCCAGAGCUUAGCGCACCCGCGGCUCCACCUGAUCUCGACGGGGGCGCUGGGCAGCCCGGAGGAGGAGGCCAAGCGCCCAGUCUGCGGCGCUUUCGGGUGGACGCUCCCUCCCCUGAGGCCUUGCUCGCGCCGCCCAGCGCUCUGCGGCCGAUCCGCCCUGGGUGCUAGUCCGGGAGCGAGUGCUCGCACCAGCAAGGACAGAGGGUUGUCCUCGGCACAAGCAAAUGCCAGGAGGCCAACUCGAGUUCCUUCCUCGCGGCUGCGGUGGGCAGCGUUCGCCACAGCCUCUGUUUAUUUCGGUUUCCUAAGGCUGGUCUGCAGUGAUGUCAACUCCCCCCCCCCAAAAAAAAACCGGUAGCAAGCUUGUCCUUUCUUUAGUUAUAAUACCGUCAUCCUCUGGAUCACAGAGUUAAAAGUUCAGCAAGAUCACCAACAGGUUAUUAGGUUGAAGGUCAUUUUUGAUUCUGCUUUCUCAGCUACUCUUGAGUUGGGUGACCCCUGGACCUGUGAACGGCCACAUGCAUGCUCUGGGAAGGCCCUCUCUAAAACCCACUUGGAACAAAAGUCUUUUGUCAGGACUUUAGGUAGGUGUGAUAUAAAAGAAGAGGAAGCUGUGAAAAUGCUAGCCAAAGCUGUAACAUAAAUAGAAUUAAGAAGGAGGGUUUGAGGGUAGAGUCAGACAAGGCUUUACCAUGUCUCUAUUUAUUUUCUAUUUGCAGUUAAACUCCAUAGUUGAGACCAUUUUAUUAAAAAAAAAUCUCAAUACCAAAUAUGUGCCCACCAGUAGUUUAGUGACAAGAAUGCAAAUACUUUUGUGCUACUCAGAAUAGGGGUGAGAAGGCCAUCAGCUACCCAGUCACCCCAACUGGGUGACAGUAAUUGUGGUUUUGGAAUAAGAAGGGAACUAAUUGCCCUUGCCUCAUCUCCUCUUUUUUUGAUAGAGGUGUUUUUUAUGCAUAAAACAAAGCAAAAACAAACAGACCAAAAAAAUGAAACAAAACAAAAAUUUUAAAAAAGCCCAGGAGGCUAUAGCUUACAGGAGCAUAUUUAAUUAUUUCAACGAUUGUUAUCCUUCAGGCUCUCAGGCAAAACCUGGAGGUUGAAUACCGACCAGCCAGCAGCUUUCCAAUAAAGUGCAGUAUUAUUGCAGUAGACUUUGUAAUACAAUUUAUGCUGUCAUUCAUAAAUAACAAUGCCAUAUGUCAACAAUAUUGCUUACACAAGUAAAACCAUCAAUGUGUCACUAUUUGAUUUAUUUCAACAGCUUUUUCAAAUAUUGAAAUGUAGAUACUGAAGAGGUGUUUAAUGAGGGAACACCCAAAUUUUGAAAUAAAUACAUUGAAACUUCCGCUUGCUUCUUUAUCUGAUUUCGAGGGGGGGAAGAAACCAAGGAAAGUCCAUCUCAGGCCUAAAAUAAUAAAAAAAAAAUUAGGCUUCUGUGUAAAUCUUGGCCGUGUAAAAAACGUUUUGUGGCUAUUACUUGGAAUUUCAGAGCAUUUUUUAGGACACAACCGUGGGUUUCUCAAGAAAUCCCCAAACCUAGUGGUCAAAUAAAGGUCGAAGGCCUUUCUCAGACAGCCUCUACCUCUGACUGUAAAAAUAAUUUUGAACCAAAUUGGGAAUGCUUAACUACAGGCAGAUUUCGCACAAUUUAUCUUUAGAACUGUAAAAGUAAGCUGGGUUUUUUCCCCCAACAGCUUGUCAAUGCAAAGGUCAAGUGGAUACAGGAUGGGGGGGCAGUUCUUCACUAUCCAAAGGAUUCAGACAACAAGACACACCCCCACACCUUCCCAAUCCAGGGUCUUAGUAUCAGGAACAGUCUGUGACUUUUGUCUUCCCAUCUCCACCGUGCCCAAAUAAACCUCAGCAUAAAUUACUUUUUUUUUUUUUUUUGGUACUCCUCGCACCACACGUGUCCGUGGAGCCUGAAGAUUGUGAAUGAGUUCAGGAGGGCGCCGGAAAGAGACAGUCCUCAAAGAGAUGCUCACGGGGCUGCGAGUUGCCACCCGGACGAUUUUGAGCACCCAGAAUGAAGAAGAUCUGCUGGUUCGCUUGCCUUUCUGGCUCCGGCUUGUAGACAACUCUGGGUGAAGUACCACCACCACCACCAUCCUCUCGCCGGCUGCCAGUUCCCACCCUGCGCGCCUUAAGCACCCCUUGGCAACCCAGCCCAGGUUCAAUCGUCCUUCACCAGGAGUUCCGUGGGCCGCUUCGCCCUUGAACCCGCCUCUGGCUGAACCCAAAAGGCCCUCGACUGCACAAAUCCGCUCCGCACCCAGCCCUUCCGCGAGGAGGCCGCCCCUCAGAAACCACGCGGGGACUGGCGAGUCGUAAAAGCAAAUUGCAGGGGCAAUAAAAAAAAAGGCAUCCCGGCGGGUCUCCCCAGUUACUUUCUUGUCCACCCCACCGUCCCCCAAGUGUCCCCCCCCUUCUUCGCCCGCCCGCCUGGAGAAACAAUCAAACAAAGGCUCAAAAGCCAGGAAAUGUCCAAUUCACUUCCCUUAGAGUUUAUUAAUUGCCCACACCCAUCGUAGGAAACUUGACUGUGUUGAGAGAGAGGGGCACGGGAAGGCACCUGGAGCUGGGAGACGCUGCCCUCCCUCCCGACAGCGGGAAGCCGGCCACAGCAUCCCCAGGCGCCAAGUUCUGCGGCCUUUAGGCGGCUCAGCAGCCGCGUGGCCGUCGGGUUCCGGCCAGCUGGUGGUUGGCUGCGCCUUCCCACCUCCCCGAGCCUUUGUUUGGGGGCCUGGAAAAGAGGUUGGGGUUACUGGAGCAAACGUGAGCUCUGUAAAUUUACGGCCGCCAAAGCCCCGGUUGCCUCCAGCACCGGUAUUUCCAAGGCUGGCUUGUAUCGCUGCCUCCAUACAAGAACCUCUGCACCCGAAAGUGCAGAUCAGGGCUUGAGUGUUGGGGAAGUGGCCCUGAAGACACCGUCCUCAGAACAGGGUCACAAUCCACGGGGAAAAAGGAAGGAACUAAGCACGAAUGCAUCUAUUACUCCCUGCUUUGGAGACCAGCACAUUAUUCUCUCCAAUACCCUGGAAAUUGUUUAUUUAGGAAGUGUGACACAGUUAUUGCGGCCUUAGAAAGUCGGGAUUUAAGGGGGUUAGGGGUUGGCUCCCAAACAGCUUGAAAAAGAAACAGCGCACCUGGGGUCAGGCGGGUCAUCACAAUAACAAAAAGCGCGUCUACAAAAUAAAAAGCCCCUUUUAUAAAGAAAGGCAAUCCCGGAAAUCCACAGCGAGCCUUCCUGAGGACCAAGAAGCUAGGCCUAUUCUCAGGUUUAAUUGGCAGGAGGUUUAUUGGCGCCUUAUUGGUGUUGAUUGAAAUUUUGCUCCCUUGUCCUUUCUUUCAAGAAUUAGCAUCUCAAAUCGAUUUACCUGAGUCAAUUAUCUUUUUAGGGUCUGAGUUUGGUCAUAAAUUUGAAUAUUCAUUAAACUCACUUCGUAAAUAUUCCCUUUCCAGUCACCACCCAAAUCUCUGCUAUUACCAGAGAAAGUGUUUUCUCUCCUCUCUUUCUUUUUUCUUUCUUUCCUUUUCUUUCAUUUUUCCUAGGUCUCCCAUAAAAAGAAAUUGAUCAGGGAGCUAUAUUUGAAUUAAGACAUAUUAAAUCGAUGACAGAUACAUACCAUGCUGUGUUUAACAAGAGUUGUACAAGGAGGCGGGUUCCAGAUUCCACACGGGUCUGCUGUAGCGUUACCCACAUUUUUACAGCCUUUCCUUCAUGCCUCCAUCCAUUAAACCAUUAAAUUUCAGCAAUUCAAUAAAACAAAGCAGUUAUAAUUCUGACGAAAAGCCAUUUUGAAGGGGGUGGGGUACCCAUUUUAUUGCACAAUAAAAUUGCUCAAAGGUCUAUAUUAUAAA